CUUCACAAUGUGGCAAUACGUAGUUCAUUGUCCUGGUAACUGUCAGGUGUGCUGCAGUUCCACCCAAUCACCGUGGGAGACUGCCACAUAAAGGCGGGCGUAAAGCACCUGUCAGCCCCUUGCUUGCUGGAGGCUGGGUCGCGUCACUCCUGUGCUUCCUCCAUUUCCGCGUUCUUGUGGUUACAGGUGGGCUGCCGGCUGCACUUCUCACGUAUGUCGCCCAUCCAGUGCUAAUGUUAUUGUUUUAUAAAGGUCCACCUGGGUGUUGCUGCUGGCUGCGCGCUGUGUCCCGCUCUGUGUGCGCCGCGCUGUGUGCCGCUCACUGUCCGCCGCUGGUCGCUCUCGGGGAGCGUGAUUCCUCCGUCCCACGCUGUGUUGGCCGGGAUCGCCUGAUCGGUAUGUAGUGCAGUGGUCUUAGCUUCCUCCUCCAGCCAUUCAUAAGUUGCUCAUUGUUUGUUCACUUCAUCGUAGGACGACUGACCGUAACGGCGCAGCGCAGACUAACCCGCUCCUAGAACCGCUGCUGCUUUGCUUCGCUUUGUCUCUUCACUUCUUUGCCUCAUUUAAAGAGAUUAUUUGGACUGAUUGCUGUGCCUCAUUGGAACUGUGUGUUUGAAGAACUGAUCGCCUCGCUUGCAUCGGCAUUUGCCGCUCCGCCGGUCGCUUGGUAACGCGUCGCCGAUAGUUGGCGCAGCUUCAUCUUAAACUGUGCUGAGCCUACGGUGGUGGAUUGGUGUCCUGGUCACGGUGUCCCCUUUUUGUUGUGUUAGCACUUUGUAGCUUCUUUGUUUUGUUUACUUUUAUUUGCUUCACGUGUGGUGUUCCUGGGAUCCCCUUUUCUUUUGGAUACGGUUUUUCGCUGUAGGUCUCAGCACUGAUUGGUUUCCCUUAUAUGUCCCCUUACGUGAGUAAUUCUUUUAUAUUACUUUUAAAAUAGAAAUUUGUGUAAAUAAAAGUGUUUUUGUAUUAUUGAA